ACUGGAAACACAGCUCCGAACUAUUUACAUAUCAUGAACAUGCUCAUAAUCAUAGUCAUUAAAUUCUUAGUUAAAUCACUGGACAACAACAAUUAAACCAUAGUAAUGAAAUUAUGUUUACGCAAUUUGAAGAGAAGUGGCAUUAUAAUGGUGACGAGCUUCGAAACAACAAAAUAUAUAUUAAACUGUAAGAAACAGAGAAGCACAAUAAAAAUUCAACGUACUCGUACUUUGAAUAUGAAGCAAAGUGAAGUUAGGACUGGUAGAAGCAAAUUGGCAGAAAUAUUCAAUAAUACAGGACGGACUAUUACAGUGUACUACAGAAGACGAAGAAUUUGAAUAGAAAUUGGAUCAUGGAUACGAAAUUGAAAAACUUUACUUGGAAAUUAGUGCCUUAUCACAAACUUGUGAGAAUACAGUGACAGUUUCUAAUAAUAACGAAAAAGUGAAAUUGGCGUUUGGUACUGCUAAUAUUAACUUUACUCAGUAUUCAAAAAGAUAAGACAUUUGUGAACUUUGUAAAGAGAUUACGCACUUAUUUUCUCUUGGAAAUAUUACAUGGACUAAUA